GGCAGUGUAGUAUAAUGGGUAAGGAGUUGGUCUCGUAACCUGAAGGUCACAGGUUCGAUUCCUCGGUAGGACACUGCCG
rnacentral:tRNA from 1 species